UAUGCUUACUACAACACUCCCUCUAGUGGUGUUGUGUAUACGAGACAGGGAAAUCUCAUUGUCUUUUCAGACCACCCUAGUCUCUCACAGUCUCAAUGCCUUAUGGGAAAAUCAGUCAGGCUUGGGGACUGCACUGGAUCAGCUUGAAAGAAACUAGAGUCACUUAAGAAGUGGAAACCUCAAUCAAGAAAAUUGCCCCACUGGGUUGGCUUGUGAUGCAUGUUCUUCGUUGAAGAUUGCUGUGUCCAUCUCACUGAGGGUGACAUCAAACUCUGAGCCGAUGGCCCUGGGUGCUAGAAGAUAGCAGGCUGAGCAAGCCACAGGGAGCAAGCUGGCAGAGCUGCAUACUGGUCCAGACAUCAGUGAAGAUGCUGCUGCUACUGAAGAAGCUGAUCUAUGUGUCUUGUACAAGGCUAAAUGCUUCCCUCCCCCCACCUCUGGUGGAUCCUGGCACCUUUGUGGGUGAUUCAGACUGGAUUUGGGACUUGACUUUUCUAGUGACACUUUGGUCUAUUUUCUGUUUGGAGAGUCCAGGAAGGGACUGACUCCUGAAGGUAGACAAUGUCCCCUCUGGCUUAGUCUGCACCCAAAGGAAUUGGUCUCUGCAUUAAAGAAGUGUGAAAUGUCUGACCACUGCUGAGAAGAUCAUCACUAGAAAGCUGUGCUGGGACGGUGUCCAAAAGGCAUUUUAUUGUCUUGCUUUUUUUUUUCUUUUGAGACAGAAUCAUUCUACAUAGCCCAGGCUUUUCUCAAAUUCAUAAUCCUCUUGUCUCUCUGACUCUCAAGUGCUGGGAUUACAGAUGUAUACCACUGCACCUGGCUUCAAGAAGGAUUUUAGGGGGUUGGGAUAUAACUCACUUGGUAGGGUAUUUACUCAGUGUGCACGAAGCCCUGGGUUUAAUCUCCAACACAGUACAACACCAGGCAUGGUGGUAUAUAAUUGUACCAGGCCAGCAUGGACAACAUGAGGGCCUGUCUCAAAAUAAAACAAAACAAAACAACACACACACACACAUGCACACAUACUCACAAUGAACAACAAACAAAAAAGGAAAAUGAAAGACAUGUUAAAACCUGGUAUUUGAAUCUUCCAGCUUCUGUUUUGUCAAAUAAAAUACUUUUGUACACUGAA